GCAAAUGAUGAUCAACCUUUUGGAAUCUCGUUCGUCUGAACUCUUGAUGAGAUUUUAAUUUCUGACUUGC